rnacentral:rRNA from 1 species
UGCAGUCGAACGCUUCUUUUUCCACCGGAGCUUGCUCCACCGGAAAAAGAAGAGUGGCGAACGGGUGAGUAACACGUGGGUAACCUGCCCAUCAGAAGGGGAUAACACUUGGAAACAGGUGCUAAUACCGUAUAACAAUCAAAACCGCAUGGUUUUGAUUUGAAAGGCGCUUUCGGGUGUCGCUGAUGGAUGGACCCGCGGUGCAUUAGCUAGUUGGUGAGGUAACGGCUCACCAAGGCCACGAUGCAUAGCCGACCUGAGAGGGUGAUCGGCCACAUUGGGACUGAGACACGGCCCAAACUCCUACGGGAGGCAGCAGUAGGGAAUCUUCGGCAAUGGACGAAAGUCUGACCGAGCAACGCCGCGUGAGUGAAGAAGGUUUUCGGAUCGUAAAACUCUGUUGUUAGAGAAGAACAAGGAUGAGAGUAACUGUUCAUCCCUUGACGGUAUCUAACCAGAAAGCCACGGCUAACUACGUGCCAGCAGCCGCGGUAAUACGUAGGUGGCAAGCGUUGUCCGGAUUUAUUGGGCGUAAAGCGAGCGCAGGCGGUUUCUUAAGUCUGAUGUGAAAGCCCCCGGCUCAACCGGGGAGGGUCAUUGGAAACUGGGAGACUUGAGUGCAGAAGAGGAGAGUGGAAUUCCAUGUGUAGCGGUGAAAUGCGUAGAUAUAUGGAGGAACACCAGUGGCGAAGGCGGCUCUCUGGUCUGUAACUGACGCUGAGGCUCGAAAGCGUGGGGAGCAAACAGGAUUAGAUACCCUGGUAGUCCACGCCGUAAACGAUGAGUGCUAAGUGUUGGAGGGUUUCCGCCCUUCAGUGCUGCAGCUAACGCAUUAAGCACUCCGCCUGGGGAGUACGACCGCAAGGUUGAAACUCAAAGGAAUUGACGGGGGCCCGCACAAGCGGUGGAGCAUGUGGUUUAAUUCGAAGCAACGCGAAGAACCUUACCAGGUCUUGACAUCCUUUGACCACUCUAGAGAUA